rnacentral:tRNA from 1 species
UGUUCUGUGGCUUAGUUGGUUAAAGCACCGGUCUAGCGAAUACGGGGUCGUGGGUUCAAAUCCCACCAGAUCGC